rnacentral:rRNA from 1 species
CCGGAGUGGACGAACCUCUGGUGUUCGGGUUGUGUCGCCAGACGCAUUGCCCGGUAGCUAAGUUCGGAAUCGAUAACCGCUGAAAGCAUCUAAGCGGGAAGCGAGCCCUGAGAUGAGUCUUCCCUGACAGUUUAACUGUCCUAAAGGGUUGUUCGAGACUAGAACGUUGAUAGGCAGGGUGUGUAAGCGUUGUGAGGCGUUGAGCUAACCUGUACUAAUUGCCCGUGAGGCUUAACCAUACAACACCCAAGGGGUUUUGUA